GACGACCUCGGCGAACAGGUAAGUGUUUUUCCCUUCUUUUCUUUGUUAUUUUAGGUAAAAUAAUGAAAAAAAAUAAAAGAAAAUAAAAAAGAAAUAUGCAAAUAAAAAGAAACGAUGAACACUUCAAAGUAAAAACAAAACCUUCGAAAAAACGAAUUUCCUAUGUAGUUCUCUCUAUUUUUGUCCUUUUUUACACUCCAAAAAUCCCCCCC
rnacentral:lncRNA from 1 species